GGCCACAUUGCAUUGAAACACCAGUUCCCGUAUGAUCAUUGAAGUUGAGCAAUGUCAAGGCUGGUCAGUACUUAGAAGGGUGACUACUUGGGAAUACCAUGUGAUGUA